UAUAAAUAUUUAUAUCUAUGUAUAUAGAGAGAGAGACAGAGAGACAGAGAGUUCUUUUCAGUUGGUUUUUCUAGUGUUGGCGGAGAGGGGGAGAGUGAGACACAGAGAGAGACACGAGGGAGAGUGUUCGUUUUAGGGUUUCGAAGUUCGAACCCCUUUGUUGGUAUCUGUCACUAAGCGAUCUUGAGUUUUUUCACCCUCUCCGGCGAUAUUCUUUCUUCUUUUUUCACGGUAAAUUUACCGUCUGAUAUAGCCAAAGAAUUCCUUUUUUUAUUUUUCCCCGGUCGAAGGACCGGUAUUUUCCGGUGAGGGGUUUUGUAACUUUGUUGUCCUCAAGGUCGUCUUCAGAACUGUAUUUGGUUGGUGGUGGGCCGGACACUUUUACAGUGAAAGCCUGAGUUCAAAUAUAAAACCUUGCACGAGAGUAGUCCCAAGACUUCGGCGUCAUAUUCUUUCGUUUAUCAAAGUACUUCAUUUACUUUUUUAGGGCGUAGGCAAGGUAGUUUUGGUUUGGUCCAUUUUGAUAUUUUUGGAGAUUGACUGACUCAGAGCUUCAUUUUCAUGGGGGUUUCCAUUUAUGGAAUGUUUUUGCUGAGAUGUUUGGAGGAAGGGUCAUGAUCUAGGCUAAAUUCAGUGAACUAGGUUUCUUUUUGUUUUUGUGUUUUUCAUAUGAAUCUUCAAUUCUGGUAAAAAAGGAUGGAGACUUUCGCACCCAUUUAAUCAUGCUUUUGGUUUUGUGAAGCUUUGGCUUUUCUAUAUUUGACGAUCGAGAUUGAUGGGUGUUUUGGAUUGGAUUAAACUUCUCCCUUCUUUCAUCUGUAUCUAUCAGGAAUUCAAUUAUUACUUAAAAUUGUGAUCACUGCAACUCGCAGGCACCACUUCCAAUUCUUUUGCUCCCAAGUCUCUCUGGCUCUGUCUUCAUUUUCCCACGAAGCUUUGCCAUCAAAGAGGGCUCAGUUGAUUCAUCAAUUUUUGUUUUUUUUUUUUUUUUUUUGGGUUUCUAGCGAGACUUAAGUUCAGUGAGCUGAUUCUUUUCCCCUUCGUUUUUCAAUAUGACUGUUCGAUUCUGGUGAAAAUUAUUGUGUUUAAAGGAAAAAGAAGGAAACUUCUGAUCCCAUUUUAUCAUUCUUCAAGUUUUGUGAAGCUUUGGCUUUUCUAUAUCAACGAUUGAGAUUAAUGGGUUUUAUCUCUCUACUGACGAAUUUGAUCCUUGCCUAACGUAGUGGUUACUGCAACAGGCAGGCACCACUUCCGAUUAUUCCCAAUUGUCUGAGGUUUCUCCUUAUUUUCCAGCAAAUAUUUGUCAUCAAAGUUCUCGUUAAUUUAUAAAGAAAAAAGCUUUCUAACGAUUGCUGGGCUCAAACUAUGGCAGUCUCUUUCCCCCGUUUUUCGUGGCGGUUGUGGGCUGGGAAAGAGAAAGAACCUGUCUCAAAUGGGUCUUCCCUGAAUUCUUCAUUUGAGUGGGGUUUUGGUACGAGGGAGACUGAGACGGUGAAGUUUCCGUCUGUGAAGGGAACGAAGAUAGCCUCGUCGCAAAGGAAGGUUAAGAGGAAAUGGCAGAGUAGGGAAGAAAGGAAAAUUGAUAGGGAGUUCGAUGCGGAGUUGGUGCCUUCCGAUGGUGUCUGUCUGUCAGGGUCUGAAUCCGACGACCCAGACUGGUCCAUUGGAUGGUUUGAGCCUCAUGGACCUGAUUUUGAGAGUGAUGAUGGUUUAGCAGUGCUGGUUCCUAGCUACAGACCUGGUUGCAAGAAGGUGAUGGAGGGCUCAAAUAACCAUCUUUUCAGUGCCAUCAAGAACCUCUCAAACGAGUUCUCUCCUGGUAAGAGCUAUUACUUAUGCUUAAUUUUUUGCCACUUUUCUUCCGCUUUGUUGUGUUUGUAUGGUGCACUAAUAUGAACUCCAAUUAGAGAUUAAAAUGGACCCUUCCCCUGUUUUAAAUAGCACACUUUGACUCAUUUUAAACCAUAAUUUCAAUGGCAUCAAAACAAGAGUACAUAUCCAAAGAGCGGUGAAAUGUUUGUCUUGGAACUAGACAACUGUAAUCUCUGGAGAGAUACAUCAACUGGUGUAGUACACCCCAAGGGGACUGAAUAGUGUCGUCUACUUUGGACCCUGCGGUAAGAUAUAGAAUUGAAGAACAACACAUACUGGAUUGUUAACCAGAAGUUAGAGAUUACAUGAUUCACUUAAUACAAUCUCUCAACGUCUUGUAGCUCUAUAGGUAAGAGCGUUGCUGCAGGUGGUUAUCUCGUCCAGGACUCUGGCCGCACAUUACUGGAUAAACCUUUCUGAGGCUGAAUUCAUGCAUCUAUCCAUUGGCAGAUGUAAGGAGAGGAUUUGAUUAUUAGAGCUUUCUUAAAUUUUAAACUAAUUGUUGUUAAAUUGGUUUAAAGAUUUCAUACACUUUUUUUAUGCUUGCUGAAGAAGCUGAUUGGGGUUCUUGCAAGGCUCCCAGUUUAACGAAUGAGGGCAUGACACAGUUGCUUUCUGUUUUCCGAAAUCCGAGAUCUAGAAAUGGCUGAUCAUUCUCACAACAUAAAUGAUCCGGUUGAGCCGCAAACAGAAGGACCAUGUGUGGACUGGGGAAAGACAUGUCAUGUUCUGUUGCUCAUACUCAUUUUGUUAGGGUGGGAGGGGAAAUAUGAAACAUAAAGGAUUUUUUUACUGUAGAUAUGCUUUUGUGAAUAUGGGAAUACCGCUAUGCUAUAGCUCACUAGUACUGUGAAUAAUUCAGCUCCUUUCAAGUGUAGGGCCAGACAGUUGAUCUCUCUUUAUAAUCUCCUUCUGUGUAUGAUGGUGUAUUUUGUUCUUUUCACCCUAAUAUUAUCUUCUAUUUAUUUA